rnacentral:rRNA from 1 species
UCGUAACAAGGUCUCCGUAGGUGAACCUGCGGAGGGAUCAUUACACAAAUAUGAAGGCGGGCUGGAACCUCUCGGGGUUACAGCCUUGCUGAAUUAUUCACCCUUGUCUUUUGCGUACUUCUUGUUUCCUUGGUGGGUUCGCCCACCACUAGGACAAACAUAAACCUUUUGUAAUUGCAAUCAGCGUCAGUAACAAAUUAAUAAUUACAACUUUCAACAACGGAUCUCUUGGUUCUGGCAUCGAUGAAGAGCGCAGCGAAAUGCGAUAAGUAGUGUGAAUUGCAGAAUUCAGUGAAUCAUCGAAUCUUUGAACGCACAUUGCGCCCUUUGGUAUUCCAAAGGGCAUGCCUGUUCGAGCGUCAUUUGUACCCUCAAGCUUUGCUUGGUGUUGGGCGUCUUGUCUCUAGCUUUGCUGGAGACUCGCCUUAAAGUAAUUGGCAGCCGGCCUACUGGUUUCGGAGCGCAGCACAAGUCGCACUCUCUAUCAGCAAAGGUCUAGCAUCCAUUAAGCCUUUUUUUCAACUUUUGACCUCGGAUCAGGUAGGGAUACCCGCUGAACUUAAGCAUAUCA